rnacentral:rRNA from 1 species
UACGAAGGGGGCUAGCGUUGCCCGGAAUCACUGGGCGUAAAGCGCACGUAGGCGGAUCUUUAAGUCAGGGGGUGAAAUCCCAAGGCUCAACCUUGGAACUGCCUUUGAUACUGGGGGAUCUCGAGUCCGGAAGAGGUUGGUGGAACUGCGAGUGUAGAGGUGAAAUUCGUAGAUAUUCGCAAAGAACACCAGUGGCGAAGGCGGCCAACUGGUCCGGUACUGACGCUGAGGUGCGAAAAGCGUGGG